rnacentral:rRNA from 1 species
CCUACGGGAGGCAGCAGUGGGGAAUAUUGGACAAUGGGGGGAACCCUGAUCCAGCCAUGCCGCGUGUGUGAAGAAGGCCCUCGGGUUGUAAAGCACUUUCAGUGAGGAAGAACGCCUGGUGGUUAAUACCCAUCAGGAAAGACAUCACUCACAGAAGAAGCACCGGCUAACUCCGUGCCAGCAGCCGCGGUAAUACGGAGGGUGCGAGCGUUAAUCGGAAUUACUGGGCGUAAAGCGCGCGUAGGUGGCUUGAUAAGCCGGUUGUGAAAGCCCCGGGCUCAACCUGGGAACGGCAUCCGGAACUGUCAAGCUAGAGUGCAGGAGAGGAAGGUAGAAUUCCCGGUGUAGAGGUGAAAUGCGUAGAGAUCGGGAGGAAUACCAGUGGCGAAGGCGGCCUUCUGGACUGACACUGACACUGAGGUGCGAAAGCGUGGGUAGCAAACAGGAUUAGAUACCCUAGUAGUC